rnacentral:rRNA from 1 species
UGGUGGGUUGCCUUGUCAGGUUGAUUCCGGUAACGAACGAGACCUCAGCCUGCUAAAUAGUCCGAUCUUCCACGUGGAGAUCGACGACUUCUUAGAGGGACUAUUGGCGAUUAGCCAAUGGAAGUGUGAGGCGAUAACA